rnacentral:rRNA from 1 species
GUGAAAUUGAACUCGCUGUGAAGAUGCAGUGUACCCGCGGCAAGACGGAAAGACCCCGUGAACCUUUACUAUAGCUUGACACUGAACAUUGAGCCUUGAUGUGUAGGAUAGGUGGGAGGCUUUGAAGCGUGGACGCCAGUCUGCGUGGAGCCGACCUUGAAAUACCACCCUUUAAUGUUUGAUGUUCUAACGUGGAUCCGUAAUCCGGGUUGCGGACAGUGUCUGGUGGGUAGUUUGACUGGGGCGGUCUCCUCCUAAAGAGUAACGGAGGAGCACGAAGGUUGGCUAAUCCUGGUCGGACAUCAGGAGGUUAGUGCAAUGGCAUAAGCCAGCUUGACUGCGAGCGUGACGGCGCGAGCAGGUGCGAAAGCAGGUCAUAGUGAUCCGGUGGUUCUGAAUGGAAGGGCCAUCGCUCAACGGAUAAAAGGUACUCCGGGGAUAACAGGCUGAUACCGCCCAAGAGUUCAUAUCGACGGCGGUGUUUGGCACCUCGAUGUCGGCUCAUCACAUCCUGGGGCUGAAGUAGGUCCCAAGGGUAUGGCUGUUCGCCAUUUAAAGUGGUACGCGAGCUGGGUUUAGAACGUCGUGAGACAGUUCGGUCCCUAUCUGCCGUGGGCGCUGGAGAACUGAGGGGGGCUGCUCCUAGUACGAGAGGACCGGAGUGGACGCAUCACUGGUGUUCGGGUUGUCAUGCCAAUGGCACUGCCCGGUAGCUAAAUGCGGAAGAGAUAAGUGCUGAAAGCAUCUAAGCACGAAACUUGCCCCGAGAUGAGUUCUCCCUGAGACUUAGAGUCUCCUGAAGGAACGUUGAAGACGACGACGUUGAUAGGCCGGGUGUGUAAGCGCAGCGAUGCGUUGAGCUAACCGGUACUAAUGAACCGUGAGGCUUAACCUUACAACGCCGAAG